GCCAAUGUGGCGUAGUGGUUUGAGUGCUGGACUAUGACUCUGGAGAACAGGGUUCAACUUCCAAUUUGGCC